rnacentral:rRNA from 1 species
CCUGCAUGCAGACGACGCACGCGUGAAGGAAGAAGGUCUUCGGAUCGUAAACUUCUAUCAGCAGGGAAGAAGAUAGUGACUGUACCUGACUAAGAAGCCCCGGCUAACUACGUGCCAGCAGCCGCGGUAAUA